CCUACGGGAGGCAGCAGUGGGGAAUAUUGCACAAUGGGGGAAACCCUGAUGCAGCGACGCCGCGUGAGUGAAGAAGUAUUUCGGUAUGUAAAGCUCUAUCAGCAGGGAAGAAGAAAGACGGUACCUGACCAAGAAGCCCCGGCUAACUACGUGCCAGCAGCGACGGUAGUACGUAGGGGGCAAGCGUUAUCCGGAUUGAAUGGGUGUAAAGGAAGCGUAGACGGCUGUGCAUGUAUGAAGUGAAAGCCCAGGGCACAACCCUGGGACUGCUUUGGAAGGUGUGGAGCUAGAGUGCUGGAGAGGUAAGUGGAAUUCCUAGUGUAGCGGUGAAAUGCGUAGAUAUUAGGAGGAACACCAGUGGCGAAGGCGGCUUACUGGACAGUAACUGACGUUGAGGCUCGAAAGCGUGGGGAGCAAACAGGAUUAGAUACCCCAGUAGUC
rnacentral:rRNA from 1 species